AAACCAAACAUUUAAGUUUGGACUGGUUGAUCUUCGAUAUUAAUACUAAUUGAAGAUGGAAUCAUAGGCCAUGUUCCAAUUUCACUAGAACACAGUGAUUCCUCGUCAAGCUAUGGCCUCAGGAUCACGCGACCAAGAGCAUGCUUCCAAUUCAUGGCAUCAUCAAAUUCCGGCAAAAUAUGAAUCCCGAGCCGGCGGGAGCCGAGAGGGAAAUAAAGGGAGAGGGCGCACCUAUGAUGGAUUGGUUUUGGUGGUGACCGGAGGUAGCCGGUUUGAGGUCACUGUUCCCUAUGUAAGAGAAACCGAUAUCCUAGCAUAGCGGUGCCCACACGUAAUCAUUUAUGCAACUCUCGCCAUUUGCUAUUAUUAUUGUUAUUUUUGGGUAUAUUAUUACUAGUAUUAUUUUAUUUUAUUUAUUUUAUAAUGACAAACACGUGGUUAUCCUGUACCCAGUUUUA